AGUCUUAAUUGGGCGUUAAGUUGCAGGGUAUAGACCCGAAACCCGGUGAUCUAGCCAUGGGCAGGUUGAAGGUUGGGUAACACUAACUGGAGGACCGAACCGACUAAUGUUGAAAAAUUAGCGGAUGACCUGUGGCUGGGGGUGAAAGGCCAAUCAAACCGGGAGAUAGCUGGUUCUCCCCGAAAGCUAUUUAGGUAGCGCCUCGUGAAUUCAUCUCCGGGGGUAGAGCACUGUUUCGGCUAGGGGGCCAUCCCGGCUUACCAACCCGAUGCAAACUGCGAAUACCGGAGAAUGUUAUCACGGGAGACACACGGCGGGUGCUAACGUCCGUCGUGAAGAGGGAAACAACCCAGACCGCCAGCUAAGGUCCCAAAGUCAUGGUUAAGUGGGAAACGAUGUGGGAAGGCCCAGACAGCCAGGAUGUUGGCUUAGAAGCAGCCAUCAUUUAAAGAAAGCGUAAUAGCUCACUGGUCGAGUCGGCCUGCGCGGAAGAUGUAACGGGGCUAAACCAUGCACCGAAGCUGCGGCAGCGAACGUAUCACCCAAGACAACUUUACGGAGUUGACGAUUGACGGAGCGAAGCGACGUCAAAGCGUUCAUUAAAGUCGAGUUGGCUUAGGGAUACGUUCGUUGGGUAGGGGAGCGUUCUGUAAGCCUGUGAAGGUGUGUCGUGAGGCAUGCUGGAGGUAUCAGAAGUGCGAAUGCUGACAUAAGUAACGAUAAAGCGGGUGAAAAGCCCGCUCGCCGGAAGACCAAGGGUUCCUGUCCAACGUUAAUCGGGGCAGGGUGAGUCGACCCCUAAGGCGAGGCCGAAAGGCGUAGUCGAUGGGAAACGGGUUAAUAUUCCCGUACUUGGUGUUACUGCGAAGGGGGGACGGAGAAGGCUAUGUUGGCCGGGCGACGGUUGUCCCGGUUUAAGCGUGUAGGUGUGUGUUCCAGGUAAAUCCGGUUCACUUUAACACUGAGGCGUGACGACGAGGCACUACGGUGCUGAAGCAACAAAUGCCCUGCUUCCAGGAAAAGCCUCUAAGCAUCAGGUAACACGAAAUCGUACCCCAAACCGACACAGGUGGUCAGGUAGAGAAUACCAAGGCGCUUGAGAGAACUCGGGUGAAGGAACUAGGCAAAAUGGUGCCGUAACUUCGGGAGAAGGCACGCUGACACGUAGGUGAAGUGAUUUACUCAUGGAGCUGAAGUCAGUCGAAGAUACCAGCUGGCUGCAACUGUUUAUUAAAAACACAGCACUGUGCAAACACGAAAGUGGACGUAUACGGUGUGACGCCUGCCCGGUGCCGGAAGGUUAAUUGAUGGGGUCAGCGUAAGCGAAGCUCCUGAUCGAAGCCCCGGUAAACGGCGGCCGUAACUAUAACGGUCCUAAGGUAGCGAAAUUCCUUGUCGGGUAAGUUCCGACCUGCACGAAUGGCGUAAUGAUGGCCAGGCUGUCUCCACCCGAGACUCAGUGAAAUUGAACUCGCUGUGAAGAUGCAGUGUACCCGCGGCAAGACGGAAAGACCCCGUGAACCUUUACUAUAGCUUGACACUGAACAUUGAGCCUUGAUGUGUAGGAUAGGUGGGAGGCUUUGAAGUGUGGACGCCAGUCUGCAUGGAGCCGACCUUGAAAUACCACCCUUUAAUGUUUGAUGUUCUAACGUGGACCCGUAAUCCGGGUUGCGGACAGUGUCUGGUGGGUAGUUUGACUGGGGCGGUCUCCUCCUAAAGAGUAACGGAGGAGCACGAAGGUUGGCUAAUCCUGGUCGGACAUCAGGAGGUUAGUGCAAUGGCAUAAGCCAGCUUGACUGCGAGCGUGACGGCGCGAGCAGGUGCGAAAGCAGGUCAUAGUGAUCCGGUGGUUCUGAAUGGAAGGGCCAUCGCUCAACGGAUAAAAGGUACUCCGGGGAUAACAGGCUGAUACCGCCCAAGAGUUCAUAUCGACGGCGGUGUUUGGCACCUCGAUGUCGGCUCAUCACAUCCUGGGGCUGAAGUAGGUCCCAAGGGUAUGGCUGUUCGCCAUUUAAAGUGGUACGCGAGCUGGGUUUAGAACGUCGUGAGACAGUUCGGUCCCUAUCUGCCGUGGGCGCUGGAGAACUGAGGGGGGCUGCUCCUAGUACGAGAGGACCGGAGUGGACGCAUCACUGGUGUUCGGGUUGUCAUGCCAAUGGCACUGCCCGGUAGCUAAAUGCGGAAGAGAUAAGUGCUGAAAGCAUCUAAGCACGAAACUUGCCCCGA
rnacentral:rRNA from 1 species